rnacentral:sRNA from 1 species
ACACGAGAAGGGAGGUGGUUCGGCAGAUGUAUCAAAUCCGGACGCGUGAGGUGGCUGCGGGCUAGCAGUCCGUCGUCGCGCUCAGCGCAUUCGCCGGACACGCGCAUCGCAGGAUGUGCGGCCGGCCAAUCCCAAGCAGUCACCCGACCCGCGGGUCGCCGGUACGUCCGACCGGCCCCCUCGCGCCACGGCGCAGGGGUACAGACCCGCGGGUCGCCUGCG